AGUCUGGGGCAAGCAGUCAAUAUUACUCAAGGCCAUGUUGUCACAAUAUAUGGGUGGUCAACACAUCGCUAAUAAUAAACUGAAGAAGGAACUGAGAGCCAAUCAGAGACAGCGAGAGACAGCAUGUAAUUUUCAGCUGUGGUUGUUUCACACUUUUUUUGGGUCUUUCAUCAGAUCUGUCAGCAGGAGUUGGGCUGUUGUAAAGCUCUUAGGAUUUUUUUUGUGUGUGUGUGCUCCGAGUGGACGAGAUCAGUGAUGAGAACCUGUGAGAGUUCCGCGGAGAUGGAUGAUGUAACCUGUUGUCACGGAGCCGCAGCACGACACACUCUGAUCCUCUGCGCCAAGAGCCGACAUGCAGACAGCAAAGGAAUAUAACGCAAUCCAGGAGUCUGGAGAAACUUCGGCCCACAGAACGUUCUCUCUCUCUAUCCUUCUCUCUGUCUGUCUCUUAGCAUUAUUUUAUUCAUGAUUAUAUUGUAUUGUAUUAAUAUGAAACACAUUUUCUGUUAAAACAAAAGUGUUGUCACUAUGUUUUUGAAACAUUUCAUGUCAAAUGUUAAGAUUAUAUUAUUGACAUUUGGAAGCUACUCAAAAAACAUUUUACCAAAAUUUUUUGUUUCAUUGAAAACAGUUCACUUUAGAAUUAUUGUCUAUUUUGUAAAUAAAAUUGAUCAGGACGUAAACUCAAACCUGCAUCAAACUUAUGUCAGGUAAUAUGUCACUUUUCAGCGUAAAUUGCUGAUUAAACAUUGUGAUCUAAUAUAAAUACACACAAAUCUGCGGUUUUGCCCUGUGAAAAUAUGUGUGUGUGUGUGUGUGUGUGUGUGUGUGUGUGUGUGUGUGUGUGUGUGUACAGACGUGUCAUCUGUGUGUGCAGAGCUGGUGUGAAUGACGCCGUGAGGCUGCUCGAGAAGCCACAAGAGAGAAAUGAGACUGACAGAAUGCGAGACAGAGAUUAUUAACACCAGAGUUCUCCCUGAGCAAAAGUGCCUCUACGAUGCUACGGGGCUGCCAAGACUAUGCUGUGCGGUUGCUAGGAGGUUUCCAGGUGUUCUAAGUGUUUUCUUGCAGGUGUAAAUCAAAGCAGCUCUUUAUUUUUAUUUAAAUUAUGAUUGAAUUUAUUUCUGCUUAUAUAUCACACUUUUAUUUUGUUUCUGUUUUAAGUUAGAAUGCUCAAAAUACUUGUUAAAUAUCAGUUUCAUAUUCUAACACUUGUUAUAAAUAUAUGAUUAAUUAACAUAUACAGUGGUGGCAAAAUUGUUAGAACAUUUGGCAUAUUUAAGAGGUUUUAGUUGUUUUUGUUAAAUUGGCCAUUACAAUACCCUUACAACUAACUAUUGCCAGAACCACCUGCUACGGAAUGAAUCUGCUGGAACAUUUUAUAAUGACGGACAUGCCCCCUCAAAGUCUGCACAUCGACCUCAACGAGCAAAUUUGGGGCGAGUUGGAAAAUAAACUGGACAGAUCUAUUGUCCAUUCAAGCCUCUGGCUUGAGUUGCAGAAGGCAUGGGAUAACAUUAGUGUUCUCAGGAAAUAUACUGACACUGCACCAGAGAGAUGUGCUGCUGUAAUUGCUGCAAAAGGUGGACAUACCAAAUAUUGAAGUUGAAAGUGGAUAAAAACAGUACAACUUCAUGUGAUAUUUCUUGUGCUCAGAGCAACCAUUUGCAUGUUUCAUGAACAUUAUAUACAAUAUUUUCAGAUCUGUCAGGUGUUCUAAUAAUUUUGGCCACAACUGUAAAUCAUAUAAAUAUUUUGGGGCAACAGAACGGUCAAAACAAUAAUAUUUGAUUAUAAUAUUCACAAAAUGCAAAUAUUUUAAUUUAUUUUAUUUUACUUUAUUCAAAAUAUUUGUUGAAUAACAUUUUCAUAAUUGCAAUAUAUAAAUAUAAUAUAAUUCAUAUUUUAAUAUUUCUUUUUAAUUUUAUUUAUGGGCUUGGGGAAAACUUGACUGAGUAAAGAGGAUGCUCAAAAUAUUUGUUUAACAUUUUGACAAAAUUCUUUCUAUUAGGUUAAGUAAAAUAGUAUUAUUUAUGCCCUCAUAUAAAUAAAAUGCGCUUCAAAUUCAACUUCAAUAUCGCCGUUAAUAAUAAUAAAGUUCCUAGGUAUAAUAUGUUCUAAUACUUUUCAACAUACAGGUUUAUUAACCAUGGCAAAAAAGUCUGUGAAUUCCAAAAAGACGAGCUCCGAUCGUGCCGACAGAACUGCAGUUGGCCGCUAGGGAGGGCUGCUGUACCGCCGUUCUCCGUAUCGCCGCCGUGCUCCGCUAGACGCUGCUGCCGCUCGUGUCCCUCGCUUUCUCUCUCUAAUCACGCUCUGCGUCUCUCCCUCUCUCUUUAUCAUUCUGAGCCACCCCUCCUCCCCCCGUCACUUACCCUGCCCUUCUGAGAGAAGAAUCCACGGCGUGUGCGAUUUAGAGGCUGUGCGCUUAUGUGUGUGCGUGUUAGUUUAUGAGCCCUGGCUUCUGUUUGUGUGUGCGUAGAGGUGCUAUGAAGGCCGGCUCUAUUGUGUGCAGCGCAGUGUUCUGUUACCUGCGCGCGAGUGAUUAGAGCGCCGUAAUAAACGGAGGGAGAGAUAGAGCGAGAGAGAGAGAGAGAGAAGGAGGGGGGUGAACGAGGGAUAGGUUGAGUGGAAGAGUAAUAAAGACCGAGGGAGGAGAUGAAAUUCCAGCUGCCUGUGAAAGGCUGUUUCCUGCAGCGCUGCCACGAGAUUAAUGACGAGAGAAAGAGAGAGAGAGAGAGAGAGAGAGAUGGAGACAGGAAGAGUGCCGCGCAAACGACUCCGUGAAAGUAUCCGGUCGGUGGCGACGGCGUCCCGUUUAGCGGCGCGCAGCUCAGUUUAAUCUGGUUUGAAGUUCUCUCUUAUCAUUUUAAUAGCGUUCUUUCACACGCGCACGGAUCACUGUCGAGGCAGAUCGGCAGAUAUCGCGCGCUCAGAGGGCAUGCAGAGACAUUCACAGUGCCAGUGCGCCGCGCGCCUGCCAGGCGUCGUUUCUCAUCGCUGCCAGGCCUCGUGCUCUGCUCUCCUUGUGCUUUGGAUGAAAGAAAGCAUUUCAUUUUACGUCACGGCUGGACGUAAAAGAACGAAGCGGCAGAGGUCUACGGCUGCAGGAUUUCUCCGGGGAACAUCUUGCCGUCACGCUUCACUGGCGUCUGAAGAGCGCCAGGGAAACCCUGACUGCAGGAGCGGGACAAGAGCUGAGACGAGAAAAGAGACAGAGCGUGAGGGAAUGAACGCAGCGGCGCGUGUGUGCGCGAGGCUCUGUGGGAGAGAAACAGACAGUGCUUUAGGGAGUAGCAAAGAUGACAGAACACUCAAGAAUGACUCACAGAUGGAGAACGCACAUGAAGACGAGGGCUUGGAAAGGGGAAGCCAGCGAACAGCGUGAGCAGUGCAGUGCUGGAGCAUAUGAGGGCAAGAAGGACUCCA
ensembl:lncRNA